rnacentral:rRNA from 1 species
GACGAACGCUGGCGGCGCGCUUAACACAUGCAAGUCGAACGGAAAGGCCUGCUUUCCCUUGUGGAUUGCGGGUACUCGAGUGGCGAACGGGUGAGUAACACGUGAGUGAUCUGCCCCCAACUUGGGUAUAAGCCUGGGAAACUGGGUCUAAUUCCCGAUAGGACUGCAGGGUGGUGCCUGUGGUGGAAAACGAUUUUCUAGUGGUUGGGGAUGAGCUCGCGGCCUAUCAGCUUGUUGGUGGGGUAAUGGCCUACCAAGGCGGCGACGGGUAGCCGGCCUGGGAGGGUGGACGGCCACAUUGGGACUGAGAUACGGCCCAGACUCCUACGGGAGGCAGCAGUGGGGAAUAUUGCACAAGGGGCGGAAGCCUGAUGCAGCGACGCAGCGUGGGGGAUGACGGCCUUCGGGUUGUAAACUCCUUUCGACCGCGAGGAAGCCACCUGGUUGGAAGGGUGGUGACGGUAGUGGUAGAAGAAGCACCGGCUAACUACGUG